rnacentral:rRNA from 1 species
CCUUACGGGUGGCAGCAGUGGGGAAUAUUGGACAAUGGGGGCAACCCUGAUCCAGCCAUGCCGCGUGUGUGAAGAAGGCCCUCGGGUUGUAAAGCACUUUCAGUGAGGAAGAACGCCUGGUGGUUAAUACCCAUCAGGAAAGACAUCACUCACAGAAGAAGCACCGGCUAACUCCGUGCCAGCAGCCGCGGUAAUACGGAGGGUGCGAGCGUUAAUCGGAAUUACUGGGCGUAAAGCGCGCGUAGGUGGCUUGAUAAGCCGGUUGUGAAAGCCCCGGGCUCAACCUGGGAACGGCAUCCGGAACUGUCAAGCUAGAGUGCAGGAGAGGAAGGUAGAAUUCCCGGUGUAGCGGUGAAAUGCGUAGAGAUCGGGAGGAAUACCAGUGGCGAAGGCGGCCUUCUGGACUGACACUGACACUGAGGUGCGAAAGCGUGGGUAGCAAACAGGAUUAGAUACCCCAGUAGUC